GGAGUUAGCCGGUGCUUCUUCUGUGAGUGAUGUCCUUCCUGCCGGCUAUUAACCCGCAGGCCUUCUUCCUCACUGAAAGUGCUUUACAACCCGAAGGCCUUCUUCACACACGCGGCAUGGCUGGAUCAGGGUUGCCCCCAUUGUCCAAUAUUCCCCACUGCUGCCUCCCGUAGGAGUCUGGGCCGUGUCUCAGUCCCAGUGUGGCUGAUCAUCCUCUCAGACCAGCUACGGAUCGUCGCCUUGGUGAGCCGUUACCUCACCAACCAGCUAAUCCGACAUAGGCUCAUCCGAUAGCGCGAGGCCCGAAGGUCCCCCGCUUUCCCCCGUAGGGCGUAUGCGGUAUUAGCCUGGGUUUCCCCAGGUUAUCCCCCGACUACCGGGGCAGAUUCCUAUGCAUUACUCACCCGUCCGCCGCUCGCCACCAGGGAGCAAGCUCCCCGUGCUGCCGCUCGACUUGCAUGUGUUAGGCCUGCCGCCAGCGUUCAAUCUGAGCCAGAAUCAAACUCUGA
rnacentral:rRNA from 1 species